GAUGAACGCUAGCUACAGGCUUAACACAUGCAAGUCGAGGGGCAGCGGUAUCGAAAGCUUGCUUUUGAUGGGCGUCGACCGGCGCACGGGUGAGUAACGCGUAUCCAACCUGCCCACCACUUGGGGAUAACCUUGCGAAAGUAAGACUAAUACCCAAUGACGUCUCUAGAAGACAUCUGAAGGAGAUUAAAGAUUUAUCGGUGAUGGAUGGGGAUGCGUCUGAUUAGCUUGUUGGCGGGGUAACGGCCCACCAAGGCGACGAUCAGUAGGGGUUCUGAGAGGAAGGUCCCCCACAUUGGAACUGAGACACGGUCCAAACUCCUACGGGAGGCAGCAGUGAGGAAUAUUGGUCAAUGGACGAGAGUCUGAACCAGCCAAGUAGCGUGCAGGAUGACGGCCCUAUGGGUUGUAAACUGCUUUUAUAAGGGAAUAAAGUGAGUCUCGUGAGACUUUUUGCAUGUACCUUAUGAAUAAGGACCGGCUAAUUCCGUGCCAGCAGCCGCGGUAA
rnacentral:rRNA from 1 species